CGUUUUCGCUCGCGUCUAUCGCGUUCGGUGUGAACAUACACACCAUUAACCCUGCGCUGACGGAUGCUCCACGCCAGUCCGUUAAUCGCCUCUCUGUGAUUUCAAUCCGGCGUCCAGUGUCUGCCACCUGCCUGUCCUCCUGCUCGAUUGGAUCACCCGGUGCAUCAUCUGGGCUCGUCACUAACUCCACGGAUUCCCUUCUCACGGACUUUCACACUUCCCUUCCGAGCCCCACGGUCCCACUCCGAUCCCUCCCACGGUCCCGAUUUCGGCUUCCCCGCGUCAUUUGUUUCCCCGGGUUUUCCUGUUCCUUGUUUGCUCCUCUGGUUUUCCCGGGUCGCCUUUCGUUAUUUAUAAUAAAGUGUUUUCUCCUGCUAGCACUUGAGUCUGCU
ensembl:lncRNA